rnacentral:rRNA from 1 species
UACGUAGGUGGCAAGCGUUGUCCGGAUUUACUGGGCGUAAAGAGCGCGCAGGCGGUCGUUCAAGUCGCGUGUGAAAGCCCCCGGCUCAACUGGGGAGGGUCACGCGAUACUGAUCGACUCGAAGGCAGGAGAGGGUAGUGGAAUUCCUGGUGUAGCGGUGAAAUGCGCAGAUAUCAGGAGGAACACCUGUGGCGAAGGCGGGUCUCUGGGCCGAUACUGACGCUGAGGAGCGAAAGCGUGGGGAGCGAACAGG